rnacentral:piRNA from 1 species
GAAUUCAGAAGUAAAGGUGUC